rnacentral:tRNA from 1 species
GCCUGGGUGGCUCAGUCGGUUGAGUGUCUGACUUCGGCUCAGGUAAAUCUCACAGCUUGUGAGUUCGAGCCCCGCGUUGGGCU